AGGGCACUGAGUGCUCAGUUGAGCCAGAUAUCUUGCCUGGGAGGGAUGACCACAGUAGCCAAGGCACAUAAAUAGAGGAGAACAAGGGCUCUAUUUUGCCUUUUCGACAGGACCUGCAAUCACCAUGUGAAGUUCUGGAUUUCCGUUUAUGUGCAAAUGUCGAGGAUGCGUUUGGAAAGAGUGAUCAACACCUCCCCUGGGAGCUGAAAUAAAAGUAAAACAGUAACAGAGACUUUUGCAUUUCAAAGAAGGUUCUCGAGACCAAAUAAUUCAUUCCAACUGUUGAAGAAAAUACUGGGAAGCAGAAUGUGCAUGCUACUAAUAUUUUGGAUUCAAGCAGAUUUUAGGUCAAAGGGAGGACAAAAAUAUAAUUGAAACCAAAAUUGUUCAUUUCUUUCCCUUCCUUAAGGACUCUUCCUUUGCUUAUUUAGGUUUUUUUACAGAUAAUGUGCAGAACAUCAAAAAAGCUCCACUGCAGAUAUAGGAAAACCUCAGCCUAUUAUUCAUUGAAUUCUAUCUGGGAAUGUUCAAAUAUUAUAUAAUUUAAAAAGCAACAAAUGUGGAACUGAAUUCUUUUUUCUUGUAAUUAAGAAAAGUGUCACGGAUAUAUGAGGAUCACCAGUUAUAUCAAACACAAGCUGGAAAACUCCUACUAUUUUCCCUGGGUAUAAAUUCUCUUCUUGAAUUUCCCCAUGCCACCACACAUAGUGGUGUGUGGUCCAGCUGCUGCCAAGGGACCAGCCACAGAGAGCGAACAGGGGGAGUGAUGGGAGAUGGCCCUAUUGCGGGAGGUCCCGUGGGAGUUUGGAGGGGAUGAGAACAGUUGGCAGGACAGGGACAGGCUCUCUUUGUUCCCGCACGGCAGUCAAGAAUGAGCAGCCACCUCUUGGGACCGUGGCCACUGUCGUCUUGCUCUCCCCGCCACGGGACCCAGCCAGCCUCCUACCACUGCCUGCCAUACCUUGCUACAUAGAGUUUGUGUUGCCCUGCACACCCAUCGCCGGUGUUGCGCUGCAUAUCAGUGGCACUCUCACUGCUGCCACGGAACCUGGGGGAAUUCCCUUUGUGUGUGGUGAGCGUCGCUGCCCACGCACAGAUCUCCAAAGCUGUUGGCACAGCUGCAGCCAAGAAGAAACUGCUGCCUCUCUUUAUUCUGGGAUGGCAGUUGAGUUGAUGAGCCCCUAUGCUCCUGCCUGUGGCUUUGCUCCACAUACCAGUGCUUUCACUACCAGCCGCCACCCUCCCGUGUUCCUCUGCUGCCGACUGCUGGGCCAGGGUGUCCCAUCCUGCUCACCAGACACCAGGACUGUGCUGUUUUUAGACCCCUGGUGCUUUCUGCCAUUUUUUGUCUGCACUGCCUAGGCACCCCCCUAUCAUCACUACAGCCAAUUGGAAAGAACUGGGAACCUCCUUUGUGCACCUCUCCAUGUGUCAUCUGUCUGGCACGGCGGCAAUUCCACUCCAACUCCAUUGUAACUCCGUGACUGUGCUGGGACUGCAUUGUUGCCUCAGUGACACAGAAGUGAAAAGAGUGAUUUCUGGGUGACAUUUUUCUCUGUUAUUGUGUGGAUGUUGCUUUUGUUCUGUUUUGUUCCUUGUUUUUAGUAAACUGUUAUCUUUUUUCUAUACGUUGCUCGAAAGUCUCAUAUUUUCAAAUCAGCAAUAAGUCUGGGAGCUAGGGGUCUCUAUUUCAUUGGAGGUACUACCUCCUAGUGUACAUUGUCUUUAACC